rnacentral:rRNA from 1 species
CCUACGGGGGGCAGCAGUCGAGAAUCAUUCACAAUGGGGGAAACCCUGAUGGUGCGACGCCGCGUGGGGGAAUGAAGGUCUUCGGAUUGUAAACCCCUUUCAUGUGGGAGCAAAUUAAAAAGAUAGUACCACAAGAGGAAGAGACGGCUAACUCUGUGACAGCAGCCGCGGUACUACAGAGGUCUCAAGCGUUGUUCGGAAUCACUGGGCGUAAAGCGUGCGUAGGCUGUUUCGUAAGUCGUGUGUGAAAGGCGCGGGCUCAACCCGCGGACGGCACAUGAUACUGCGGGACUAGAGUAAUGGAGGGGGAACCGGAAUUCUCGGUGUAGCAGUGAAAUGCGUAGAUAUCGAGAGGAACACUCGUGGCGAAGGCGGGUUCCUGGACAUUAACUGACGCUGAGGCACGAAGGCCAGGGGAGCGAAAGGGAUUAGAUACCCCAGUAGUC